rnacentral:rRNA from 1 species
CGAUGGCGGCAAGCCUAACACAUGCCAGUCGAGCGGCAUCGAAAGAAAGCUUGCUUUCUUGUCGGCGAGCGGCAAACGGGUGAGUAAUAUCUGGGGAUCUACCCAAAAGAGGGGGGCAACCAUUGGAAACGAUGGCUAAUACCGCAUAAUGUUUUUUAUUAAACCAAAGUGGGGGAUCUAUUUAUAGACCUCAUGCUUUUGGAUGAACCCAGACGAGAUUAGCUUGAUGGUGGGGUAAUGGCCUACCAUUGCGACGAUCUCUAGCUGGUCUGAGAGGAUGUCCAGCCACACUGGAACUGAGACACGGUCCAGACUCCUACGGGAGGCAGCAGUGGGGAAUAUUGCACAAUGGGCGAAAGCCUGAUGCAGCUAUGCCGCGUGUAUGAAGAAGGCCUUAGGGUUGUAAAGUACUUUCAGCAGGGAGGAAAAAUAAAUAGCUAAUAUCUAUUUAUCCUGACGUUACCUGAAGAAGAAGCACCGGCUAACUCCGUGCCAGCAGCCGCGGUAAUACGGAGGGUGCAAGCGUUAAUCGGAAUUACUGGGCGUAAAGAGCUCGUAGGCGGUUUCUUAAGUCAGAUGUGAAAUACCUAGGCUUAACCUAGGAACUGCAUUUGAAACUGUUUUUUUUUUU